AUUGAACGCUGGCGGAAUGCUUUACACAUGCAAGUCGAACGGCAGCACGGACUUCGGUCUGGUGGCGAGUGGCGAACGGGUGAGUAAUGUAUCGGAACGUGCCCAGUCGUGGGGGAUAACGUAGUGAAAAUUACGCUAAUACCGCAUACGAUCUAUGGAUGAAAGCGGGGGAUCGCAAGACCUCGCGCGAUUGGAGCGGCCGAUAUCAGAUUAGGUAGUUGGUGGGGUAAAGGCCCACCAAACCAACGAUCUGUAGCUGGUCUGAGAGGAGGACAAGCCAUACUGGAACUGAGACACGGUCCAGACUCCUACGGGAGGCAGCAGUGGUGAAUUUUGGACAAUGGGCGAAAGCCUGAUCCAGCCAUUCCGCGUGCAGGAUGAAGGCCCUCGGGUUGUAACCUGCUUUUGUACAGAACGAAAAGGUUUUUACUAAUACUAGGAGCUCAUGACGGUACUGUAAGAAUAAGCACCGGCUAACUACGUGCCAGCAGCCGCCGUAA
rnacentral:rRNA from 1 species